rnacentral:lncRNA from 1 species
AGAUUCUGAUACAGUGUGAUGAACACAAUGGACUAGAGUCAAUAAAGAUCCAACUCAUGCACAAAAUUGCCACUACUACAGCUCUAUCACCAAUAUAUACACAGCAAUUGCGAUAGCAACAGAUCGACAGGCCGAUAGAAAGAUCAGCUCAACACAAGACUGCUCAGAAAACCAAUGCACACUUCUUCUGUGCAGUGUUCUCUGCACUUGCUGGCCAAUGUAUCCUGAUUCAUCAAUCAUCUACAUCUUUUGUCAGGAUAUAUAUAUAUAUAUAUAUAUAUAUAUAUAUAUAUAUAUAUAUAUAUAUAUAUAUAUAUAUAUAUAUAUAUAUAUAUAUAUAUAUAUAUAUAUACAUGAAGGUAUAUGAACAUGGGCUAUUUCUACAUUUCUACAACCAAAUGUGAUGAUGGACCAU